GACGAACGCUGGCGGCGUGCCUAAUACAUGCAAGUAGAACGCUGAAACUUGGUGCUUGCACCGAGCGGAUGAGUUGCGAACGGGUGAGUAACGCGUAGGUAACCUGCCUGGUAGCGGGGGAUAACUAUUGGAAACGAUAGCUAAUACCGCAUAAGAGUAGAUGUUGCAUGACAUUUGCUUAAAAGGUGCAAUUGCACCACUACCAGAUGGACCUGCGUUGUAUUAGCUAGUUGGUGGGGUAACGGCUCACCAAGGCGACGUUACAUAGCCGACCUGAGAGGGUGAUCGGCCACACUGGGACUGAGACACGGCCCAGACUCCUACGGGAGGCAGCAGUAGGGAAUCUUCGGCAAUGGACGGAAGUCUGACCGAGCAACGCCGCGUGAGUGAAGAAGGUUUUCGGAUCGUAAAGCUCUGUUGUAAGAGAAGAACGAGUGUGAGAGUGGAAAGUUCACACUGUGACGGUAUCUUACCAGAAAGGGACGGCUAACUACGUG
rnacentral:rRNA from 1 species